GUGCAAAGGGAGAGUUAAACUGUAAAAGUGAACCAAGGCACAAAUGUUUGACCUACUACAUGAGGACGACCAGGCAAAGAAUUAAAGUCCAGACCCGGACAAGGUUCCCAGAGGAUCGGGCUGGGGGGAUAAAGACAGAGUCAAAUCAGGACAAUCACAGUAUCUGCAGAAGCCGAAACAAUCGCAGGAUGUCCUCAAGGCGGAGUUCCCCAACCUAACAGCUAGAGUGGCAAAAAUUGCAGCUGGAAAAAAGAGGAACAGGAAUUGGAGCUGGAAUGUCAGAAGGAAAAGACAAAACUGAGUGAGCCAAACAUGAGAAACAGCAGUGAAAGCAAUUUGGAAACUGAGAACCUAAGGAGCAAGAGAUCACAUGCGAAUGUUCAUAGGAGUCUUCUUCUUAGCGUAUGCACAACGUACCUCAGGCGGCAUAUGACCAGAUUCAUCACCGAACUUGGACCGCUGGUUGGAUCAUUAGCUUCCCCGGCUCAGGCCGGGUACUGACGGGGAGUGCGUGUUGAGCACUGAUCAACGUCCCCCUUCAUAGGAGUGAAAACAUGAAAGCGACUACAUGCUUUUACCCAUUUUUUCCCCCAAUCAUUUUUAAUGCAGUGACUGGUUUGAGAAUAAAAUCUCAAAAACCAAAAGUUUCAAACCAACC